CUGGCGGCAUGCCUUACACAUGCAAGUCGAACGGCAGCACGGGAGCAAUCCUGGUGGCGAGUGGCGAACGGGUGAGUAAUAUAUCGGAACGUGCCCAGUCGUGGGGGAUAACGUAGCGAAAGCUACGCUAAUACCGCAUACGAUCUAUGGAUGAAAGCGGGGGAUCGCAAGACCUCGCGCUAUUGGAGCGGCCGAUAUCAGAUUAGCUAGUUGGUGGGGUAAAGGCCUACCAAGGCUACGAUCUGUAGUUGGUCUGAGAGGACGACCAGCCACACUGGGACUGAGACACGGCCCAGACUCCUACGGGAGGCAGCAGUGGGGAAUUUUGGACAAUGGGCGCAAGCCUGAUCCAGCAAUGCCGCGUGCAGGAAGAAGGCCUUCGGGUUGUAAACUGCUUUUGUCAGGGAAGAAAUCUUCUGGGCUAAUACCCCGGGAGGAUGACGGUACCUGAAGAAUAAGCACCGGCUAACUACGUG
rnacentral:rRNA from 1 species